rnacentral:rRNA from 1 species
GAUGAACGCUGGCGGCAUGCCUAACACAUGCAAGUCGGACGGGAAGACGUGUUUCCAGUGCCGGACGGGUGAGCAACGCGUAAGAACCUGACCUUUGGAUGGGAACAACAUCUGGCAACGGCUGCUAAUACCCCGUAGGCCGAGUAGCAAAAGAUGGAAUCCGCCCGAGGAGGGGCUUGCGUCUGAUUAGCUAGUUGGUGAGGCAAUAGCUUACCAAGGCGAUGAUCAGUAGCUGGUGGGAGAGGAUGAUCCGCCACACUGGUACUGAGACACGGCGUAGAGUACUACGGGAGGUGGGAGUGAGGAAGAUUCCGCAAUGGGGGGUGGGCGGAGAGGGCAUUGGGGUGGGAAAGUAGAAGGCUCAGGGAUGGAGAACUGCUUUUCAAGGAGAAGAAGCAAUGACGGUAUCUGGGGAAUAAGCAUCGGCUAACUCUGUG